rnacentral:rRNA from 1 species
GACGUAGGGCGCGAGCGUUGUCCGGAUUUAUUGGGCGUAAAGAGCUCGUAGGCGGCUUGUCGCGUCGACUGUGAAAUCCCGCGGCUCAACUGCGGGUCUGCAGUCGAUACGGGCAGGCUAGAGUUCGGUAGGGGAGACUGGAAUUCCUGGUGUAGCGGUGAAAUGCGCAGAUAUCAGGAGGAACACCGGUGGCGAAGGCGGGACUCUGGGCCGAUACUGACGCUGAGGAGCGAAAGCGUGGGGAGCAAACAGG